CAAAGAGACCCACGCCCUAAUCUCCCUUAACCUAUGAAUAGGUUGCUUUAUAUGGCAAAAGAGCUUUGCAGACGUGAUUAAUGGACCUUGAGGUGGAGAGCGAUGCCUGGAUCAUCCAGGUGGGUUCAAUCUAACACGUCCUUAAAAACAAAGACCCAUUCCUGGCUGCAGAGAACCAGAGAGACGGUGGUGUGAGGAGGACCUGGCUUGUCAUUGCUGGCUUCAAAGAUGGAGGAAGGAGCCAUGAGCCAAGAAAUGUGGAUUGCCUCUAGAAGCUGGAAAAGGCAAAGGAACAGCUUCUCUCCUAGAACCUCCAAAAAGGAAACCAUUUAGCCAGCUCCUUGAUUUUAGCCCAGUGAGAGCCAUUUCGCGCUUCUGAACUCCAGAACCGUAAGAUGUCCCGGAAAUCUCUGGAGUCUCUGCUCAUUUCCACCGCAGCAAGUGCUGAGAGCGCUGCCGACCGCUCCGCACACUGGUGAUGACCGCCUCCGCCAUUCGUCCACAUGGAUUCAUCUCGCGCAGCCGCCGACGGGAGCAGUGCAUUGAGGAGGGCGUGGGGAGAAAGCUGGGACAGGCAGCAGGGGGAUGCAGGGGGAGGGGACUGGAGACUGGUCUCGGGAACCUGUGAGGAGACUGAGACCACCGCCGUCUGUCUGCAAACAGCGGGCCAUCCCUUCCCAGUGCACUGGUGUUGGCUUUGGCCCCUGGGAGGCCAUACAUACAUAUACAACACACACCCCUAUACACACCCCACACCACACACUACACCCAUUUACACCACAUACUAUACGCUAUAUAUAUACACAUCACACACACACACACACCCCAAAUACAUGCUACACACACAACACACACAUGCACACCAUACACACAAACAGCACUCACACUCUACACUCACACCCCCCCCCCCCAAAAUCCCCCUUAUCACACACAGAGUUUCUCUCUCCUUCCCCCUUUGUCCCUCCCAGGGCUGAGCUGUGUCUGCUGUGCAUUUAUGUCUGUGUGACGUGCACACGUGUGACCCGAGUGGGGCAGCUGCAGCCGCACCCCUGAGCUGGGCCGGGAGCAGCGAGCGUCCUGCCCCUGACACUGGUGUCCCCCGCCGUCCCAUCCGGAGACCUGGGAAUGCGUGGGAACCCGGAGGAAGGGAGCUGGUUUUUCUCUAAGUUCUCAAUUCCAGAAAGUGUUGUUUCGGUAAAUUGCCCCCCUCCCCCCAACAAGCAAACAUCCAAGGGGAGAACAAGAACCACAGAUAACAGAAUAUUUUGCUAAGGUAAAUGCCAGAGAAAAACCAUUUUCUGUGUGUCUUCCGAUUUUGGAACUGUAUCUGUGUGAGGUAUCUUCGUCUUCUGUGAGCAUAACUGAUGCUUUCAGGAAAGGCGCAGAAGAACUGAGCU
rnacentral:lncRNA from 1 species